rnacentral:rRNA from 1 species
GAGUUUGAUCAUGGCUCAGAACGAACGCUGGCGGCAGGCCUAACACAGCAAGUCGAACGCCCUCUUCGGAGGGAGUGGCAGACGGGUGAGUAACGCGUGGGAACCUACCCAGGGGUGCGGAAUACCCCCGAGAAAUCGGAGUCAAUACCGCAUACGUCCCAAGGGAGAAAGAUUUAUCGCCCCUGGACGGGCCCGCGUUGGAUUAGCUAGUUGGCGGGGUAAAGGCCCACCAAGGCUACGAUCCAUAGCUGGUCUGAGAGGAUGAUCAGCCACACUGGGACUGAGACACGGCCCAGACUCCUACGGGAGGCAGCAGUGGGGAAUAUUGGUCAAUGGGCGCAAGCCUGAACCAGCCAUGCCGCGUGGAUGAAGAAGGCCCUAGGGUUGUAAAGUCCUUUCACCGCUGAAGAUAAUGACGGUAAGCGGAGAAGAAGCCCCGGCUAAUUUCGUGCCAGCAGCCGCGGUAAUAC